GACGAACGCUGGCGGCGUGCCUAAUACAUGCAAGUCGAGCGAGUCUGCCUUGAAGAUCGGAGUGCUUGCACUCUGUGAAACAAGGUACAGGCUAGCGGCGGACGGGUGAGUAACACGUGGGUAACCUGCCCAAGAGAUCGGGAUAACACCUGGAAACAGAUGCUAAUACCGGAUAACAACAGAUGAUGCCUAUCAACUGUUUAAAAGAUGGUUCUGCUAUCACUCUUGGAUGGACCUGCGGUGCAUUAGCUAGUUGGUAGGGUAACGGCCUACCAAGGCGAUGAUGCAUAGCCGAGUUGAGAGACUGAUCGGCCACAUUGGGACUGAGACACGGCCCAAACUCCUACGGGAGGCAGCAGUAGGGAAUCUUCCACAAUGGACGCAAGUCUGAUGGAGCAACGCCGCGUGAGUGAAGAAGGGUUUCGGCUCGUAAAGCUCUGUUGUUGGUGAAGAAGGACAGGGGUAGUAACUGACCUUUGUUUGACGGUAAUCAAUUAGAAAGUCACGGCUAACUACGUG
rnacentral:rRNA from 1 species